rnacentral:rRNA from 1 species
UUUAUGGAGAGUUUGAUCCUGGCUCAGGAUGAACGCUGGCGGCGUGCCUAAUACAUGCAAGUCGAGCGAACGGACGAGAAGCUUGCUUCUCUGAUGUUAGCGGCGGACGGGUGAGUAACACGUGGAUAACCUACCUAUAAGACCGGGAUAACUUCGGGAAACCGGAGCUAAUACCGGAUAAUAUUUUGAACCGCAUGGUUCAAAAGUGAAAGACGGUCUUGCUGUCACUUAUAGAUGGAUCCGCGCUGCAUUAGCUAGUUGGUAAGGUAAC